rnacentral:tRNA from 1 species
AAGGGAGACCUAAUUCAGGUAGGAGACGAAAAAAAAGUAGUCGCUACCAAGAAUCAAUCCCAAAAGGUCGGAGCGAGGCGAAAUUGGCUUUCAAACUAGGUUCUGGGUUCACACAAGACCUGAAUCAGGAACAAGGGCUAUUAGCUCAGGUGGUUAGAGCGCACCCCUGAUAAGGGUGAGGUCCCUGGUUCGAGUCCAGGAUGGCCCACCUGUACAGGUGGCAAAAAGAAGAGAAACGAGGAAUCAGCACCUUAUCUUACUUACAUAGUAAGAGAGAAUGCUGGCUCUGAGUAAAGAGUCCAGAGGAACCUUGAAAACUGCAUAGAGCUAGGUGAGAAAGCCAAAAAAGAAGACCGCAA